AUCCUUUUGUAGCUCAUGAGUGUGACGAUUGGGUGUUCAUGCAUGUGUGUGAGGUGUGCCACCCUCUGAACCUUGUUACAACAUCAGCACAUUACGUCUCUGAAC
ensembl:snoRNA